rnacentral:lncRNA from 1 species
GGUUUAUGAUGUCUGAACUUUUUAGUAUAAACCAUCUGAAAUACUAAAACAAAUAGAAGGAAAAGUUGCAGGGAGAGUUCUGGUGGGCUAUGCAUGAGCAGGGAAGGCUUCCGCAAGAAAGGGGCUGGUCUGAGCCCUGAAAAAGGGCAAGGUUUUGGGGAGGUUAGCAGUGGGAUGGAAAUGGGAUUGGAACAGAGCACAGAAACCCAGAAUUUGGGGUAAAGGGGCUGAAUGGGGAUAGGGCCAAUUGUAGCUCUGAUGGCCUGGGUGGGUCUCACUCUGGCCACAGAUCGAGAACGGCUACUUUGUACACUACUUUGCCCCCGAGGGCCUAACCACAAUGCCCAAGAAUGUGGUCUUUGUCAUUGACAAGAGCGGCUCCAUGAGUGGCAGGAAAAUCCAGCAGACCCGGGAAGCCCUAAUCAAGAUCCUGGAUGACCUCAGCCCCAGAGACCAGUUCAACCUCAUCGUCUUCAGUACAGAAGCAACUCAGUGGAGGCCAUCACUGGUG